rnacentral:sRNA from 1 species
ACUGAUGAAAUUAAUUCGUCUAUGAUCCUGUAUGUAAUUGACAACAUGAACAAUGCAAUU